CGCCCUGCUGGACGAGGAGUGCCCGCGGGACGCGGUCGCGCUGCGGGCGCUGGUCCGCACGCUGGUGCCGCGGUCGUUCCAGACGGCGCGGGGCGG
rnacentral:tRNA from 1 species